AGAGUUUGAUCAUGGCUCAGGACGAACGCUGGCGGCGCGCUUAACACAUGCAAGUCGAGCGAGAACCAGGGCUUCGGCCCUGGGGACGGCGGCGAACGGGUGAGUAACACGUGGAUAACCUGCCCUCGGCACCGGGAUAGCCCGAGGAAACUCGGAUUAAUACCGGAUAGCCAUUCCGACUCUCGGGUCGGUCUGAAAAGGUAGCUUCGGCCUCUGGCCGAGGAUGGGUCCGCGGCGGAUUAGCUAGUUGGUGGGGUAACGGCCUACCAAGGCUUCGAUCCGUAGCUGGUCUGAGAGGACGAUCAGCCACACUGGGACUGAGACACGGCCCAGACUCCUACGGGAGGCAGCAGUGGGGAAUCUUGCGCAAUGGGCGAAAGCCUGACGCAGCGACGCCGCGUGAGGGAGGAAGGCCUUCGGGUUGUAAACCUCUUUCAGGAGGGACGAAGCUACUCGGGUUAAUAGCCCAGAGGGUGACGGUACCUCCAGAAGAAGCC
rnacentral:rRNA from 1 species